rnacentral:lncRNA from 1 species
UUCCUUCUAAUUCAAGGUAGAGAUUAAGAAAUCAGAUUGGAGAAAGAAAAAACGGCUAAAGAAAAAAAAUACAAAAACACUAAAAAAUCUGAAAAAUUAGAAGAAAAAUACAAAAAAGGCACCAAAAAUACUGUUUCAUUGAAGCUGAGUGUGUUUUCUUUGGGUUUCUUAAAAGAUUGAAGUAGUUUUGACUCUUUCUGGGAUCAAAAUGGUUUGACAAAGCUGAAACUCUGUUGUUGAUCUGCUAAAUCUCCU